UGUCUCUCUAUUCAUCUCUCUUUGUCUCUCACUCUGUCUCUCCCUCUGUCUCUCCCUGUCCCUCUCUGUCUCUGUCUCUCUCUCUCUCUCUCUCUCUCUCUCUCUAUCAUACACACAGACACACAUUAUGUGUAGACGAAUUUGUCCUUGAAACGUUUAUCUUGUAUAUCGUUUUAUGAGUAUACUUAAUGCAUUUUAUUCUGUAACAG